CAAAGGCUUAGUCCUGACUUUAUUAUCAGCUUUAGCUAGACUUACACAUGCAAGUAUCCGCACCCCCGUGAAAAUGCCCUACAGUUCCCUGCUCGGGAACAAGGAGCCGGUAUCAGGCACAACACAUCAAGCCCACGACGCCUUGCUUAGCCACACCCCCAAGGGAAUUCAGCAGUGAUAGACAUUAAGCCAUGAGUGAAAACUUGACUUAGUUAAAGCUAAGUAGGGCCGGUAAAACUCGUGCCAGCCACCGCGGUUAUACGAGAGGCCCGAGUUGAUAAGCACCGGCGUAAAGAGUGGUUAAGGACAGAUCAAAACUAAAGCCAAAUGCCUUCAAAGCUGUUAUACGCACCCGAAAGCCAGAGACUCAACCACGAAAGUGACUUUAUAACACCUGAACCCACGAAAGCUAUGAUACAAACUGGGAUUAGAUACCCCACUAUGCUUAGCCCUAAACAUUGAUAAUGCACUACAAUCAUUAUCCGCCUGGGUACUACGAGCAUCAGCUUAAAACCCAAAGGACUUGGCGGUGCUUUAGAUCCACCUAGAGGAGCCUGUUCUAGAACCGAUAAUCCCCGUUAAACCUCACCUCUCCUUGUUCCCCCCGCCUAUAUACCGCCGUCGUCAGCUUACCCUGUGAAGGGUCAAUAGUAAGCAAAAUUGGCACAGCCCAAAACGUCAGGUCGAGGUGUAGCGUAUGAAGAGGGAAGAAAUGGGCUACAUUCAGUGUACCACUGAACACGAAAGGUGGCCUGAAAACGCCUACCCGAAGGAGGAUUUAGCAGUAAGCGGGAAAUAGAGUGUCCCGCUGAAACCGGCCCUGAAGCGCGUACACACCGCCCGUCACUCUCCCCGAUUAAGCCACAAUAAUGAUACCUAAAAUACAACUAUAAAGAAGGGGAGGCAAGUCGUAACAUGGUAAGUGUACCGGAAGGUGCACUUGGAAAAAU
rnacentral:ncRNA from 1 species